rnacentral:rRNA from 1 species
GAUGAACGCUAGCGGCAGGCCUAAUACAUGCAAGUCGAACGGUGUCUUCGGACAUAGUGGCGCACGGGUGCGUAACACGUAUGCAACCUACCUUACAUUGGGGGAUAGCCUUUCGAAAGGGAGAUUAAUACCGCAUAAGACAGUAGCUGGGCAUCCAGCAGCUGUUAAAGAUUUAUCGAUGUAAGCUGGGCAUGCGUCCAAUUAGCUAGUUGGUGAGGUAACGGCUCACCAAGGCAAUGAUUGGUAGGGGAACUGAGAGGUCAAUCCCCCACACUGGCACUGAGAUACGGCCCAGACUCCUACGGGAGGCAGCAGUGGGGAAUAUUGGACAAUGGGCGGAAGCCUGAUCCAGCCAUGCCGCGUGUGUGAAGAAGGCCUUUUGGUUGUAAAGCACUUUAAGCGAGGAGGAGGCUACUAGUACUAAUACUACUGGAUAGUGGACGUUACUCGCAGAAUAAGCACCGGCUAACUCUGUGCCAGCAGCCGCCGCCGUAA